CCUACGGGCGGCAGCAGUGGGGAAUAUUGCACAAUGGGCGAAAGCCUGAUGCAGCAACGCCGCGUGAGCGAUGAAGGCCUUCGGGUCGUAAAGCUCUGUCCUCAAGGAAGAUAAUGACGGUACUUGAGGAGGAAGCCCCGGCUAACUACGUGCCAGCAGCCGCGGUAAUACGUAGGGGGCUAGCGUUAUCCGGAAUUACUGGGCGGAAAGGGGGCGUAGGUGGUUUCUUAAGUCAGGGGUGAAAGCCUACGGCCAAACCGUAGUAAGCUUUGAAACUGGGGAACUUGAGUGCAGGAGAGGAGAGUGGAAUUCCUAGUGUAGCGGUGAAAUGCGUAGAUAUUAGGAGGAACACCAGUUGCGAAGGCGGCUCUCUGGACUGUAACUGACACUGAGGCACGAAAGCGUGGGGAGCAAACAGGAUUAGAUACCCGUGUAGUC
rnacentral:rRNA from 1 species